UACAGGCUUAACACAUGCAAGUCGAGGGGCACCAGGAAGAAAGCUUGCUUUCUUUGCUGGCGACCGGCGCACGGGUGAGUAACACGUAUCCAACCUGCCCUUUACUCGGGGAUAGCCUUUCGAAAGAAAGAUUAAUACCCGAUAGCAUAAUGAUUCCGCAUGGUUUCAUUAUUAAAGGAUUCCGGUAAAGGAUGGGGAUGCGUUCCAUUAGGUUGUUGGUGAGGUAACGGCCCACCAAGCCUUCGAUGGAUAGGGGUUCUGAGAGGAAGGUCCCCCACAUUGGAACUGAGACACGGUCCAAACUCCUACGGGAGGCAGCAGUGAGGAAUAUUGGUCAAUGGGCGUUAGCCUGAACCAGCCAAGUAGCGUGAAGGAUGAAGGCUCUAUGGGUCGUAAACUUCUUUUAUAUAAGAAUAAAGUGCAGUAUGUAUACUGUUUUGUAUGUAUUAUAUGAAUAAGGAUCGGCUAACUCCGUGCCAGCAGCCGCGGUAAUACGGAGGAUCCGAGCGUUAUCCGGAUUUAUUGGGUUUAAAGGGAGCGUAGGUGGACUGGUAAGUCAGUUGUGAAAGUUUGCGGCUCAACCGUAAAAUUGCAGUUGAUACUGUCAGUCUUGAGUACAGUAGAGGUGGGCGGAAUUCGUGGUGUAGCGGUGAAAUGCUUAGAUAUCACGAAGAACUCCGAUUGCGAAGGCAGCUCACUGGACUGCAACUGACACUGAUGCUCGAAAGUGUGGGUAUCAAACAGGAUUAGAUACCCUGGUAGUCCACACAGUAAACGAUGAAUACUCGCCGUUUGCGAUAUACUGUAAGCGGCCAAGCGAAAGCAUUAAGUAUUCCACCUGGGGGAGUACGCCGGCAACGGUGAAACUCAAAGGAAUUGACGGGGGCCCGCACAAGCGGAGGAACAUGUGGUUUAAUUCGAUGAUACGCGAGGAACCUUACCCGGGCUUAAUUGCAGUGGAAUGAUGUGGAAACAUGUCAG
rnacentral:rRNA from 1 species